rnacentral:rRNA from 1 species
AUUGAACGCUAGCGGGAUGCCUAACACAUGCAAGUCGAACGGAGUGGCGAAAGGGUGAGUGAUGUAUCGGAAUGUGCCCAGUAGCGGGGGAUAACUAUGCGAAAGCGUAGCCAAUACCGCAUACUUUUGGAGCGGCCGAUAUCGGCUUUGCUAGUUGGUGGGGUAACGGCUCACCAAGGCGACGAUCCGUAGCUGGUUUGAGAGGACGAUCAGCCACACUGGGACUGAGACACGGCCCAGACUCCUACGGGAGGCAGCAGUGGGGAAUUUUGGACAAUGGGGGAAAGCCUGAUCCAGCCAUGCCGCGUGUGCGAUGAAGGCCUUCGGGUUGUAAAGCACUUUUGGCAGGAAAGCGGUACCUGCAGAAUAAGCACCGGCUAACUACGUGCCAGCAGCCGCGGUAAUUC